CACGUAGGACGCAAGCGUUAUCCGGAAUUACUGGGCGUAAAGGGCGCGUAGGCGGCCUUCUAAGUCAGACGUGAAAUCCCCCGGCUCAACCUGGGAACUGCGUCUGAUACUGGAGGGCUCGAAUGCGGGAGAGGGAUGUGGAAUUCCAGGUGUAGCGGUGAAAUGCGUAGAUAUCUGGAGGAACACCGGUGGCGAAGGCGGCAUCCUGGACCGACAUUGACGCUGAGGCGCGAAAGCUAGGGUAGCAAAC
rnacentral:rRNA from 1 species